AGGUCUUGACAUCUUGCGCUAACCUAAGAGAUUAGGCGUUCCCUUCGGGGACGCAAUGACAGGUGGUGCAUGGUC
rnacentral:rRNA from 1 species